CUGAUUUAGGCUUUGAUUAUAGCCUUUUUUAUCCUUCUAAGGGUAUUUUAUGCGUCCUGCUAUGGAGGGAGCUCGGCCGUUCUGUUUUGGCCUUCGUAUCUAGAUCCUUUAAGGAUAUAAGUCUACCCGAGUUUGAGAGCUCGGUCUUGGGCCUUUGCGAAUCAUCAGUCCGAGCUGGGAGCUCGACUUUGAGUGUCGUAA
rnacentral:lncRNA from 1 species